GACGAACGCUGGCGGCGUGCUUAACACAUGCAAGUCGAACGGAAAGGCCCUGCUUUUGUGGGGUGCUCGAGUGGCGAACGGGUGAGUAACACGUGAGUAACCUGCCCUUGACUUUGGGAUAACUUCAGGAAACUGGGGCUAAUACCGGAUAUGAGCUCCUGCUGCAUGGAGGGGGUUGGAAAGUUUCGGCGGUUGGGGAUGGACUCGCGGCUUAUCAGCUUGCUGGUGGGGUAGUGGCUUACCAAGGCUUUGACGGGUAGCCGGCCUGAGAGGGUGACCGGGCACAUUGGGCCUGCGGGACGGCCCAGACUCCUACGGGAGGCAGUGGUGGCGAGUAUUGCCCAGUGAGCGGGAGCGUGAUGUGGAGACGCCGCGUUCGGGAUGACGGCCUGCGGGUUGUAAACCGCUUUCGCCUGAGACGAAGCGUUAGUGACGGUAAUGGGUAAAGAAGCACCGGCUAACUACGUG
rnacentral:rRNA from 1 species